rnacentral:rRNA from 1 species
UACAGAGGAUGCAAGCGUUAUCCGGAAUGAUUGGGCGUAAAGCGUCUGUAGGUGGCUUUUUAAGUCCGCCGUCAAAUCCCAGGGCUCAACUCUGGACAGGCGGUGGAAACUACCAAGCUGGAGUACGGUAGGGGCAGAGGGAAUUUCCGGUGGAGCGGUGAAAUGCGUAGAGAUCUCCAAGAACACCUAUUGCGAAGGCAGCCAGCUGGGACCAUAUUGACGCUGAGGCUCGAAAGCAUGGGGAGCAAACAGG